UGACGUAACACGUGAGCAAUCUGCCGUACACUGGGGGAUAGCCGGCCCAACGGCCGGGUAAUACCGCAUACGUUCCUCGCCUGGCAUCAGGUGGGGAGGAAACCUCCGGGGGGUGUACAAGGAGCUCGCGGCCUAUCAGCUAGUUGGUGGGGUAACGGCCUACCAAGGCGAUGACGGGUAGCUGGUCUGAGAGGAUGGCCAGCCACAUUGGGACUGAGAUACGGCCCAGACUCCUACGGGAGGCAGCAGUGGGGAAUAUUGCGCAAUGGCCGCAAGGCUGACGCAGCGACGCCGCGUGGGGGAUGAAGCAUUUCGGUGUGUAAACCCCUGUUGCUCGGGACGAACAACCCUUUUCGAGGGGUCUGACGGUACCGGGUGAGGAAGCACCGGCUAACUCCGUG
rnacentral:rRNA from 1 species